UACGUAGGGGGCUAGCGUUGUCCGGAAUCAUUGGGCGUAAAGAGCGUGUAGGCGGCCCGGUAAGUCCGCUGUAAAAGUCAAAGGCUCAACCUUUGAAUGUCAGUGGAUACUGCCGGGCUAGAGUCCGGAAGAGGCGAGUGGAACUCCUGGUGUAGCGGUGGAAUGCGCAGAUAUCAGGAGGAACACCGAUAGCGAAGGCAGCUCGCUGGGACGGUACUGACGCUAAGACGCGAAAGCGUGGGGAGCGAACAGG
rnacentral:rRNA from 1 species